GUGGACCACCCGCCACCCUUUCCCCCAUCAAACGGUCACAUUGAUUUUUAGUUUUCAAUAUUCUCUUUCUUUAUUUCGUGGUUAUGAUUAACGCUUUGAACCCUGAAAUUUGAAAUCCCCUAAAGCACCUUAAAGCGUGGGCUCCAUUUUGCUUUUGAAAACUUCCUCCUUCCUACUUUUAUUUUCCCGAAGAGAUUUCAAUUCCCCUGCUUUUUCAAAAUUUCUGAAUUUUUUUAUAUUUCAUUUUUAUGGUUGCUUUCAUUGAGAUGUGACGAUUUUUAAUCCUAAUUAUUUAGUUUACAUCGAUUUUUAAAUAUCCUUUCCUUUCUUUUGCAGGUCACGAAAAUGACCUCAGCUCACUCCCAUUUGCCGCAAACCCUCAAGCGGAUGAGCUUAAAAUAAGGAUGCAACUUGCGAGCUGCCACAAUUAGAGAAAAACUAACGUAGCACCAGAAACGUCAUCAAAGAACGGAAAAGAGGAAGUGAGCGAAGAUA